AUGAACGCUGGCGGCGUGCUUAACACAUGCAAGUCGAACGAAGCAUUUAGGACAGAUUACUUCGGUUUGAAGUUCUUUAUGACUGAGUGGCGGACGGGUGAGUAACGCGUGGGUAACCUGCCUUGUACUGGGGGAUAGCAGCUGGAAACGGCUGGUAAUACCGCAUAAGCGCACAAUGUUGCAUGAAAUGGUGUGAAAAACUCCGGUGGUAUAAGAUGGACCCGCGUCUGAUUAGCUAGUUGGUGAGAUAACAGCCCACCAAGGCGACGAUCAGUAGCCGACCUGAGAGGGUGACCGGCCACAUUGGGACUGAGACACGGCCCAGACUCCUACGGGAGGCAGCAGUGGGGAAUAUUGCACAAUGGAGGAAACUCUGAUGCAGCGACGCCGCGUGAGUGAAGAAGUAAUUCGUUAUGUAAAGCUCUAUCAGCAGGGAAGAUAGUGACGGUACCUGACUAAGAAGCUCCGGCUAAAUACGUG
rnacentral:rRNA from 1 species